AGUUCGAUUCUGGCUCCAGAUUGAACGCUGGCGGGAUGCUUUACACAUGCAAGUCGAACGGCAGCACGGACUUCGGUCUGGUGGCGAGUGGCGAACGGGUGAGUAAUGUAUCGGAACGUGCCUAGUAGCGGGGGGAUAACUACGCGAAAGCGUAGCUAAUACCACAUACGCCCUUCGGGGAAAGCGGGGGACCUUCGGGCCUCGCACUAUUAGAGCAGCCGAUAUCGGAUUAGCUAGUUGGUGAAGGUAACAGCUCGCAAGGCGACGAUCCGUAGCUGGUUUGAGAGGACAGCCAGCCACACUGGGACUGAGACACGGCCCAGACUCCUGCGGGAGGCAACAGUGGGGAAUUUUGGACAAUGGGGGAAACCCUGAUCCAGCCAUCCCGCGUGUGCGAUGAAGGCCUUCAGGUUGUAAAGCACUUUUGGCAGGAAAGAAACGGCACGGGAUAAUGCCCGCGUCGCUGACAGUACCUGCAGAAUAAGCACCGGCUAACUACGUGCCGGCAACCGCGGUAAUACGUAGGGUGCAAGCGUUAAUCGGAAUUACUGGGCGUAGCGUGCACCAGGCGGUUCGGAAGAAAGAUGUGAAAUCCCCAGAGCUUAACUUUGGAGCUACUUUUUAACUACCGAGCUAGUGUCAGAGGGAGGUGGAAUUCCACGCGUGUAGCAGUGAAAUGCAUGAAUAUACGGAGGAACACCAAAUGGCGAAGGCAGCCUCCUGGGAUAACACUGACGCUCAUGCACACGAAAGCGUGGGGAGCAGGAUUAGAUACCUAUAUUGCAGUCACGCCCUAAACGAUGUCAACUAGCUGUUGGGGCCUUCGGGCCUUGGUAGCGCAGCUAACGCGUGAAGUUGACCGCCUUAGGAGAUACGGUCGCAAGAUUAAAACUCAAAGGAAUUGACGGGGACCCGCACAAGCGGUGGAUGAUGUGGAUUAAUUCGAUGCAACGCGAAAAACCUUACCUACCCUUGACAUGUCUGGAAUCCCGAAGAGAUUUGGGAGUGCUCGCAAGAGAACCGGAACACAGGUGCUGCAUGGCUGUCGUCAGCUCGUGUCGUGAGAUGUUGGAGGUUAAGUCCCGCAACGAGCACAACCCUUGUCAUUAGUUGCUACGAAGGGCACUCUAAUGAGACUGCCGGUGACAAACCGGAGGAAGGUGGGGAUGACGUCAAGUCCUCAUGGCCCUUAUGGGUAGGGCUUCACGUCAUACAAUGGUCGGGACAGAGGGUCGCCAACCCGCGAGGGGAGCCAAUCCCAGAAACCCGAUCGUAGUCCGGAUCACAGUCUGCAACUCCCGACUGCGUGAAGUCGGAAUCGCUGGUAAUCGCGGAUCAGCAUGUCGCGGUGAAUACCGUUCCCGGGUCUUGUACACACCUUACGUCGUCACACCAUGGGGAUGGGUUUUACCAAGUAGUUAGCCUAACCGUAAGGAGGGCGAUUACGUCAGGAUUCAUGACUGGGGUGAAGUCGUAACAAGGUAGCUCUGUUACUACCU
rnacentral:rRNA from 1 species